UACGACGGGUGCAAGCGUUACUCGGAAUUACUGGGCGUAAAGCGUGCGUAGGUGGUUCGUUAAGUCUGAUGUGAAAGCCCUGGGCUCAACCUGGGAAUGGCAUUGGAUACUGGCGACCUAGAGUGCGGUAGAGGGGUGUGGAAUUCCCGGUGUAGCAGUGAAAUGCGUAGAUAUCGGGAGGAACAUCUGUGGCGAAGGCGACACCCUGGACCAGCACUGACACUGAGGCACGAAAGCGUGGGGAGCAAACAGG
rnacentral:rRNA from 1 species